rnacentral:rRNA from 1 species
UGCUCUGGUUGAUCAGUGGCGAACGGGUGAGUAACACGUGAGUAACCUGCCCUUGACUCUGGGAUAACUCCGGGAAACCGGGGCUAAUACCGGAUACGAGACGCGACCGCAUGGUCGGCGUCUGGAAAGUUUUUCGGUCAAGGAUGGACUCGCGGCCUAUCAGCUUGUUGGUGAGGUAAUGGCUCACCAAGGCGUCGACGGGUAGCCGGCCUGAGAGGGCGACCGGCCACACUGGGACUGAGACACGGCCCAGACUCCUACGGGAGGCAGCAGUGGGGAAUAUUGCACAAUGGGCGAAAGCCUGAUGCAGCGACGCCGCGUGAGGGAUGAAGGCCUUCGGGUUGUAAACCUCUUUCAGUAGGGAAGAAGCGAAAGUGACGGUACCUGCAGAAGAAGCGCCGGCUAACUACGUGCCAGCAGCCGCGGUAAUACGUAGGGCGCAAGCGUUGUCCGGAAUUAUUGGGCGUAAAGAGCUCGUAGGCGGUUUGUCGCGUCUGGUGUGAAAACUCAAGGCUCAACCUUGAGCUUGCAUCGGGUACGGGCAGACUAGAGUGUGGUAGGGGUGACUGGAAUUCCUGGUGUAGCGGUGGAAUGCGCAGAUAUCAGGAGGAACACCGAUGGCGAAGGCAGGUCACUGGGCCACUACUGACGCUGAGGAGCGAAAGCAUGGGGAGCGAACAGGAUUAGAUACCCUGGUAGUCCAUGCCGUAAACGUUGGGCACUAGGUGUGGGGCUCAUUCCACGAGUUCCGCGCCGCAGCUAACGCAUUAA